AGAUUUAUUGAAGAAAAAAAUUAAUGCUUUAAGAACCAACUUCAACAAAGAAAGAAAAAAGAUUGAACAAGCACAACGGUCUGGCGUGUCUCCCGAUGAUGUACCAAAACCGUCACUCUACUAUUACAAUGAACUGUUAUUUCUGUCAGACCAAAUGUGUAUAAGUGAUACUGAAAGCAGUUUAAGCAGUGAGUUUUCCUUGUCAUCCAAUUAUCAAAAAGAGAUGUCACAAUCAAAGAAAAGCAAAAACACAUCACAGCAGGACCUGAUAGAUAUAGCAUCACAUUAUUUCAAAAAACCUGAUGACUCUGAAUCGGAUAUUAUUGCGAAGGGCUGGGCUCUUAAACUCAAACGUUUAUCACCAGAUCAAAGACGCUAUGCGGAGAAAAUAAUAAAUGACAUUUUAUUUGAAGCCGAAAUGGGAUCACUGUCAAGAAACGGAGUUCAGAUCUUGCCUGCUAGCUCGCCCACAUACACAUACUUAUACCAGUCACCCGCAUCACAUCAGUCACCAUCACCUGUGCUAUCACCAAAUGCUCUCCACUCAACUACGACAUACCAGUCACCAUCACCGUAUCAGUCACUAUCACCUGUGCCAUCACCAAAUGUACACCACUCAACCUUUAAAUACCAGUCACCAUCACCAAGUGGGCACCACUCAACUUUGACAAACCAGUCACCCGCACCAUAUCAGUCACCAUCACCUGUGCCAUCACCAAAUGUACACCACUCAACCUUUAAAUACCAGUCACCAUCACCAAGUGGGCACCACUCAACUUUGACAAACCAGACACCCGCACCAUAUCAGUCACCAUCACCUGUGCCAUCACCAAAUGUACACCACUCAACUUUGACAAACCAGUCACCCGCACCACAUGAGUCACCAUCACCUGUGCCAUCACCAACUGUACACCACUCAACCUUGACAUACCAGUCACCAUCACCACAUCAGUCACACUCACAAGUCAUAGGCAAGACACCGGUGCAUGAUACCAAAUCAUCUCAACCUAUGCAAGUGCCAAUUCUAUCUCGUGAACACCCCGUAAUUUAUAUACCAGUCCCAGCUACUCAAGAAGAAGAAUCACAGACUGCGGCUAAGUUCUUACAACACUUCUAUUCUUUUUAAUUUCACCAUCACAUUAAGUAUUUAAUUUUUGUUAUGAUUAUUUUGGUUAAGAUAAAUGAAAAUAAAUGAAUAUGAUACAUACCCGAAUAUUUUCUUUUAACUUUUGAAUUAUAGCCUCACACGUCUCCUGUAUUAUUAAAUCCAAAGUACGAGGAGCGACAGCACACAUAAACUUUAAAUCUUCCAAGUCCAUACCAGUGACCAAGUACCUUAGAGUUAUAGAGAGCCUUUGGCUGGCAGGAAUAGCUUGUCGCAUAUUGGUAUCUUGCUUUUCAAUAUUGGGUCGAAUCAACUCCAACAAUGUUUCAAAAGAAUCGUUGUCCAUUACUAGAAAAUUUUUAUAAUCGUCGGGCUCAGUUGCUUGAAGAGUUCUUUGCAAAUGUUCAUGCGUGAAUCGAUAUCUCAUUUUAUACCAUUCCUUACACCAUCGCCUCUUUCUUUUCUCUUUUUCUGUGAUAGAUACCGCUAGAGUUAUAGCAAGGAAUGCCUUGUCUGCGUUGGAAACCAUUAUUACGAUGGCCACUUUCCUGAGCACAGGGCGGUGAACGACUGCGGCAUGUGGACUUGACGGCACCUUCAAGUCGCGUCAAGUCCCUCGUCAAGUGAAAUCGUCAAGCACGUAGACUUGUCAAGUGCACUUGAUCGUCUCGCGGACCCAUUACGGUUUAUGAGAUAACAGCCCGCUGACAGACGGAGGGACAGACAACGGAGGCAUAUUAAUAGGGCCCCGUUGGCACCCUUUGGGUACGGAACUCUAAAAAGGGCCUACUUAUUCUUUGAAAGUUGAUGUUGGCUAUAUAGACCACUAAAACUUAUUUAUAAUAUAAUACAACUAUAUUAAAAUAAAUUUUUGACACAUCGUAAUUUAUAUUAUAUUAGUUACGUACGUACCUUUGAAUUUUGCAAGUGUUUUUUCGAUAAUCCGUGAUUCUUUAAAUCUCCGUAAUGAUUUCUCAAUACAGAGCCACAUAAUCUGCACUUUGCAAUUGGACCAGCUGUACUUUCUAUCACUUGCAGCCAGUCCUUUAAUUGGGAGUCCCGUAACCAACAAUCCCGGAACUUUUGCGUAUAUUGCGCUUUUGGCAUUUUGUUUUAAAAAUAAACUAAACUUGAAUUUUAAACAAACACUCCGAUGCAUAGGAUAACCAAAACUACUAAGUAUCUGUGUUGUGUAUUUCUAUUUUUGUGCAUGCAUACGAAACGAACACAUACAAAUCUCAUUAAUUCAAAUCAAAUUUGACCUAUUAGUCAUACGAAUAAAGUCCAUAAUCAAAAUAAUUUAAGAAAUUCAUAAACUUGUUUCGGGAAAUUCCCGAGAAUAACCAACGUAAUUUUACAGAGUUGCCUACAUAAUGACAAAAUAUUCCUUAAUAAGGUAAAUGUUUUCGUCUUUUCCUAUAAAGAUAUCAAUCGUGCUAGUGGUUAAAUGUCGUAGCAUCCCACUGAAUGAAACAAACUAAACCACUAGAAAAAUCCACUAGCCACUAAAACCAAAAUUCGCCCGCUAAAACGUAUAUCUAAACCACCAGAUCUAGUGGAAUAUCCACUAAGUUGGCAACACUGAGUCUAUGGGUGAUAUUACCAUAAAGUACAGAUUCGGACAACUCUAAAUCAGUAACCGUUAGAGAUAGAAAUACCAAAAAUUGCCAGAUUGUGUAGUACCUAGACAUAGUUUUGCAUAAAAAACUAAAUUUUGCCAAAAAUCUGCCAUUCGUAAGUUAAAAGUUUACCAUUGAGGUGACGAUAUCAUCUAAAACAAAAAAAGAAGAAUUCUUUACAAUGCAAACUGAAAGUAAAGUUACAGUGCCAAAACAAUGUGAUAUGAAUGAUCAAAUGAAUUUUCAAAACAAUUCCAAUAAUAUUACUUCAGGUCAUGUAACUGCAUCACUUGAAGGUGAUCAUGAUAUGAAAAUAAGCAAAGACGUUGUUGAAGAUGACUUACAUGACAUGCUGGAAACUAAUAAUUUUAAUAUCACAGCUUUGCAAACAUUGUUUAAGAUUGACGUAAGAACCAAAGUUUGGUUUCUUGUGCUUGAUGAGGAUGUGUUUUUAAAGAAAUUAAACUUUAUAAAGGAAAUUCGAAAUGCAGACAAUAGGUGUCGUUUGGUCGUCCCGGAAUGUGUUUUGAAUCGUAUUCAAAAGGGAACAACAUCUGUUAACAAGAUACAUAUGAGGAGAGCAUUACAAGCAGCCAUAUUUAUUUCUAAUGUCUUAACGGAAAACUGUGCCAUUGUUGAUAAAGAAAAUCGUCAUGAUGAUCAUACACAAAAUAUCGUUGCAUGUUAUAGAAAAUACAGCCAAAAGGACUACAAAGUUGUUUUGUUAACAGAAAAUAAUAUCAAUCAAAAUAUAAACGUAACAAGUCCCAUAUUUCGGAUGGAAGAAGUUGAAUAUUUCAUGAUAUAUGGGGAAUUAAAGGAGACGUCACCUCGAAAAGUAUUUAACUCAACAAUUACGGUCACAAUGCCAAAUAAUCCAAGAAAGAGUUUCUCCAGUAAAACUAAAGUAGGGAUAAGAGAUCCACAAAUCAAAAGAUAUAUAGAACAAGAAGAGCAUAAUGUAUCUGAUUCAAAAUCAAUACAGAGAGAAGAGUCAGAAAUGAAAAUGGAGGUGGGUAGUUUAACUGAUGAGAAAAAAAUAAAUCCAGGGACAAUCUGCAACACACUAUCAAAUACCUCGUUUCAUGAUACAGAAUAUGGAGAUGUUGAUAAAAACGUUAUGUUUGAAGUUACAAGUGAACUGAUGAAAGGGAACCUAGUAUCCAAGUCAGAAGAGUGGAUUUCGCGAUUCACACAAAUACUGGAAGAAGCUCUUAAUCAGGUUCUACAAGAGGCAGCUUUUCAGACAAUACCUCCACCUUGGACGAUGUAUGAGGCUUGUGAGUGUAUUAAACGGGGAUUUAAAAAUGACGCUGAUAUUGUUGAUGCGGCAAAUAAGUUGGGGGAUAUUAUAUUUGAUAAUGGAGCUUUGAGAGGUAAAAUUAACCACAACAUAAAUCCAUCUACAUUUAUGAAAAUCUAUAGUUACGGCGUUUACCUCGUUGAUGCGUUACAGGGCGUUUUCAAAGAUGACGAAAAUGUACAGGCAGCUGAGAAAUUAUUAGCCAAGUUACUACUCGAUAUUGAGACGCCGGAUUUGAAUAACUCGUUUAAUGAAAUCGAUGCAAUAAAUGAGCAUAGCGAUGAAGCUUCGCCACAAAAAACAUCCCAAAAUCAUCCGACACCAUCCAGAAUCACCCGUUCAAAGGCUAGAAAGAUUAUGACAUCAGUCCAGGAACGAGCCCAUCACUCUAAAGAUAAACUUCUUCAGUUUUUGCCGGAAAAGAAAACUUUUUAUCAAAUUUUGAACUUAAAAAUUCGGACAAGGAUGAAACUAAUGAACCAAAAAAUAUAGAUAAAACAGAUUGUGUUAAUACUAAAACAGAUGAACCACCGAAAAUUAUAAGAAACUUUAUAAGAAUCUCUAAUAUUGAAGAUAAAUUGGAUCCAAAUGGAUCUGUUGAUCUAGGUAAUCUAGAUUUUAUUUUAGAUGGUGCUGAAGUGCCAGAAAAGAAAACUUACACUCAUAUUGAUUUCAUAGAACAAACUAAGGCUAAAUUACGCUACGUUUUAAAAUUUUGCCAAGAUACAAGACAAAGGCUGUUAAAUCCAGAAAAACUCGAUAAAAAGGAUGUAAAUUGUCAAGCCAAAAAAUUUGCAGAACUUAUACGUUUUUGCCGUCUUCAAUUAGCAGGGAUAUACGAAAGAAGAAAAGAUAUUUAUUUAAAUGUUCUUAACUUUAAUGAGGCUGAAUAUAAUUAUAAUAAGGAAUUUGUUAAGCACUGUUUGGAAGAAUGCGCAAUUCUUAAUACGGCCCUAUCGAUUAUAAUAACAGAAACAGGCUCAACUCUCCAAUAGAAACGGGAUUAGGGGUAUUUGAAGGGGGAAGAGGAAAAGCGUACCUGACACCUCAAAUGGUACACACAAUGGAGCCCUUCCGAAGAUGUUUUUUUUUUUAGUUUUUUCUGUAAAAAGUGUUAUAAAAAGGCAUAAAUAGCAGUCACAUCGAAAGAGCUAAAAUUCAUCUCUCCUAUCUCAUAUGAUCACUGGCCAAAAAAUUUUUUUUUUUUUAAUUAUGUUAUCUUCCUACCAAAACAUUUCGUGUGAUUACAUCAACCAUCUAAACAAACAAAAAGUUUGUCAACAGCACGUAUUUUUUUUUAAAGUAAAAUAUUCGCCCAUUAAUAAAAUAAAAAAGUAACGAUUAUGUAUCUAUAAAAAAUAUGGGCAUCUGUAUCGAAGAGAUAUUUUCAAUGAAAUGUGUUAGCCGUAUAAAAGUUAGACUAAGUUAACUUUCCAUUAUUGUUUUAUAUCACUUUCAUACGGUUUCAACUAUUUCUUAGGGUAUAUCUUGCAUUUAACAUUUUUUGUUACAUUUUUUAGUUACGAGUAAAGUUAUGUUUUGAUUACCUUUUAUAGAGUAUUGA